AUGGGGUUGAAUCUUAGAAUCCAGCUCUCAACAUGAAGAAGGCUCCUUCGAUCACAGAUGCCUUAGAUGACAUCACAUCAAAGGAGCACUCUCCUAAAUGAUCAAAGGUUUCUACUGAACAUCAAUAAGACUCUUCAGGAGAUGAAGAUCAGAAGGUGCCACCCCACUACCACUAGAGACGGGUGGAGUGAGUCCAUGUGUCAACACAAACCCUGUUAGCAUCGUGUAGAGCAGGACUCCGAGACUCCAGAUGUCACAGGCUGCAUCGUAACCCUGCUUCUUCAGCACCUGCCACACAGACAGACAAAGGGUCACUACAAUUCAGAUUUAAACAAAUUCCUCUUUUCCACCUGGACUAUAAGAUUGUUGUCUGUGUUUGUUGCACUUGUCGUUUUUUCUGCUUGUUUGUGUUGCAGUGUUGAGUUCUCUGUCGACACAGCGACUGACCUCAGGCGCGACGAAGUUGGCGGUGUAGCACGGCGUCAUGAGCAGCCCGUUCUCCGCCCGCAGCUGUUUGGCGAAACCGAAGUCGCAGAUCCUGAUGGACUCGGCGUUCCCGCUCUCGUCCACGUACAGGAUGUUACUGGGCUUCAGGUCUCUGUGCACCACCUGCAACCACAGGAAGACGAGGGGGAGAGGGCUUUGAAGAAGCAGAGUCCUACCCCCUGGACGUGCAGGUACUCCAGCGUCUUGGUGAUGGUGUAGAGCACAGCGCUGGCUUCUCUCUCAGAGAAGAACUUCUGUCGGAGGAUUUUAUCCAGCAGCUCUCCUCCCUUCAUCAG